CCUCUUUUCUUUAUAAAUUAGUCAGUCUUAGGCAUUUCUUUAUAGUAAUGCGAGAAUGGACUAAUACAGUGUCCCUAACACAGACAUCUUCUGGGGUUUCAUCUGAAAUCUCUCCUGCAGGAGUCCAGGGAACACAGAAGCCAGGCAAUUUCCAUGCCAAGGAUUCUGCGACCAGAGCUUAUACUUCGUGGUCAACAUGUAUAAGCUUGGGGAGAGAGUGGAGUGAUGCAGUAGCAGAGCUGCACAUGAGACAGGCAGAAGGAUCAGCAAGUAUCAACUCGGGGACCUGCUAGCCAAACGUGGCACAGUCGAGCACUCUCUAUUUGUUCCUUCACUUUCCAGUUCUGUGGAGCUGUCUUGCCAAUAAAUAAAAGGAGGAAGAUUAAAGGAGAGAAGAUUUAAAGAGUGUGUGAAGAGCAAUUCAAAGUCUAGCACUGUUUCUGGAAAACAAUUUCAAGUUCAAGCCCAGUGAGGCCACUGCCAUGCACAGAAGACAGACAGCACCAUCAGACUGGUGAGAUUCCUUCUUUGACUUGGGGUCUGCCCUACUGAGCAACUACCCACUGUCCAUCUCUCUGCUGAACUCCAAGCUCAUCUGUCUGACUGUCUAAUUGGACGUCUCGUAGCUUCACAUAUCCAAAGCCGAACUUCUGAUCCCCUGCUCCACUUGCUCUGUCCUUUAGUUGUUAAGGCCCCAAACCGUGAGUUCAUCCUUGACUUCUCUCUUUCUCUUACACCCCUUAGGUAUUUCCUAAUCAAUCAGGAAAUACCUUUGUCCCUUCUCUUCAAAAUGGAUCUCAUUUUCAGUACACUAUAAUCAUUUCUCAUCACCUCUUGCUUGGGUUAU
rnacentral:lncRNA from 1 species